rnacentral:rRNA from 1 species
GAUGAACGCUGGCGGCGUGCCUAAUACAUGCAAGUCGAGCGGCAGCACGGUCUUCGGACUGGUGGCGAGCGGCGGACGGCUGAGUAACGCGUAGGAAUAUACCCCAAAGUGAGGGAUAACUGCCCGAAAGGGUGGCUAAUACCGCAUGUGGUCUUCGGACUAAAGCCUUCGGCGCUUUGGGAAUAGCCCUGCGUAAAGAUUAGCUAGUUGGUGAGGUAAUGGCUCACCAAGGCGACGAUCUUUAGCUGGUCUGAGAGGAUGACCAGCCAGACUGGAACUGAGACACGGUCCAGACUCCUACGGGAGGCAGCAGUAGGGAAUUUUCCACAAUGGGCGAAAGACCUGAUGGAGCAACGCCGCGUGCAGGAUGAAGG